CUCUUCUCAUGCUUCCUUCCUCUUCUCUUGUCUUUUUCACCUCCUCAAACUCAUCUCCCAAUGCAAUGCCUUGAUGACCAGAGAUCUCCUCUGCUGCAAUUGCAACAUCAUCUUUACUAUGCCCCUCAUUUUACUUUCUCUUCCAAAUUUGAGCUUUGGCACCCCAACACUGAUUGUUGCUCUUGGGAAGGAGUCACUUGUGAUGCUUAUGGUCAUGUCGUUGGCAUUGAUCUUAGUUACAAAAACCUUUCAGGCAGCUUUCACCCCAUAUUCAAUCUCCAUCGUCUUCAACGCCUUAAUCUUGUUGGAAACAACUUUAAUACCACUCUGUUUUCGUAUGGGUUUGAUAAACUCCAAAAUCUAACUCAUCUCAAUCUUUCAAGCUCAUGUUUCCAUGGCCAAAUUCCAGUGGAGAUCUCAUUCUUAAAAAAUUUAGUCUCUCUUGAUCUAUCCAAUCAAGAUUCUUGUUAUUUGAGAUAUUACAAAGUUCUUGUUGAAAGCUGGACUGCAAAGCAACAUGUGGCCAGCAGCAUGGUUGGCUGUCGAGCUUGGUGAUAAUGCUUGGUGUGCAAGACUGAAGCUGAACCAGAUGAAGCAAUCAACUUUGGAUGUUUUGUUCUUUUGUAAUUUAGUUUAGUUCAACUUUAACUAGUUUCCAAAGUUAGUUGGAUUAAGUUUGUGAUUGGAUUGAUGAUGUAAAAGCUGGUAUGUCAGCUUAUUUUGUAUUUGACUUAAGCUUGUAUUAGUUUAGUUUAAGUGGGAGCAGUUAUGUCAUUAGGUAACUGUCAAAUGAAUCAAAUUUGUAACUCUUUUAUAUAUUCAAAUUUUGAAUGAAAAAAAAAGGUGAAUGUUCAGUUACAAUUUGCUGAGUAUUCAAUUUUGUUCACUGUUUUUUGCUUUGCUUUGAUUUCUUUUGCUUCGAUACUUCUUGCUUCAGUUUUGCAAAUUCUGUUUUGCAACUUUGUUUUCUUUUUGCUGCUGCCAUUGUUCCAACAAAUGGUAUCAUGAGCCCGAGUCUUUGAGGGGCCUUUGUAUGCAAUCUGCAGCCACUUCAAUUAAAGAAUCCAAACUUCAAGACAUUAAUCAAGAAUUUGAGGUUUCUCACAGAGCUUUAUUUGGAUAGUGUGGACAUUUCAACUCAAAGUGCUAAAUGGUGUGAAACCACAUCUCUUAUACUUCCAAACCUGCAUGUGUUGAGUCUGUCAAGCUGUAGUUUGAAAGGUCCAUUAUGUUCUUCACUCUCAAGACUCUCUUUUCUUUCCAAACUUAUCCUUGAUUGGAACCCAAUCUCUUAUUUACCUCCCAAUUUCUUGGAAAUUUCCUCUCGUUUGGUUUCUCUCAGUUUGAGGAACUGCAAUUUGAGUGGCCAUUUUCCAAUUGAAAAUCUCUUAUCGCCAAAAAUUCAAAGCAUUGACAUUUCAUUCAACUUCCAACUUAUGGGUUAGUUGCCAGAAUUUCCAGCAAACAAUGCAUUAUUGAGUCUGUCACUUUUUGAGACAAAUUUCAGUGGAAAACUACCCCAAUCAAUUGGUAAUCUCAAGUUCUUGACUAAUUUAGAGCUUGAUGAUUGCAAUUUUUUUGGACCCAUUCCAUCGUCAAUUGCAAAUCUUAGUCACCUGGUCAACCUAGAUCUGGGAGGGAACAAGCUUUCUGGAUCAAUACAUUCUUCUUUAUUUACUCUUCCAUCGUUGAAGACCUUGUAUCUUGGAGAAAAUCAAUUGGUUGGGAAAAUUGACGAGUUCCCCAAUGCAUCUUCUUCUUUGAUUCAAGAAUUAAGUAUAGGAAAUAAUUAUUUAAGAGGAGCAAUCCCAAAGUCAAUUCUUCAACUCCCAAGGCUUGAAUGGCUUUAUAUCGAAAGCAAUAGCUUUAGUUCUAUGAAGCUUGACAUGUUUGUCCAAGUCAACAACUUAAGGACUCUCUGGCUAAACAAUAUAAGCUUGUUAAUUGAAAGCGACAACAGAAGUCUUACUUUUCCCAAUUAGAGAGUCUAAGCCUAUGGUCAUGCAACCUUACUGAAUUUCCAGAAUUCAUUAAAAGGCAAGACAAGUUGGUUGACUUAGAUCUUUCUAACAAUCAUAUCCAUGGUGUUGUGCCUAAUUGGUUGUGGAAGAGCAGUCUUUCAUCCUUACACCUUCCUUUCAAUGUGAUUGAUUUUCCAAAACAGCUUCCCUUAAAUGAUGCAAACUUCUCAUUUCCAAUGUUGACAGAAUUGGAUUUGAGAUCCUGUAACAUAAGUGCGUUUCCAGAGUUCUUAAAGAGUGUUGGAACAAAGAGACAAUAACAGGCUGUUUGUAUCUUGCUUGAAUAGCAAGCCUCGAGCCUUGUUGAAGAAACAAACUCAGAAGCAAAACAGAAAAUGAAACUAGCAGGCGAAUAACAGAAAAGAGAGAAGAAGAAUGAAUGAAAAAUGAGCUGAUAUUUUUUUCAUUAACUCAAAACAAGGCAUUAAGCCAUUACAUAUUUCAGUCAACAAGUAAAACAAACAAGUAAUCACCUAAUCAACUACCUAACUCCACUAAUUUGCAUUGAAACUUACAAGAUUAGCUUGUACAACUUGCAUUGCUGACUUUUCAGUCAAUCAAUAUCAAAACAUUUACCUACUUAGUUCAACAUGAACUAGAUUACAAAACAAUCAAAAUGAAACCAAAACAGCAAGUGGAUUGGCAGCUUCAAACUUCAGUUGCUGCACACAAUGGCACCACUGUUUGCUGCUAUUUCUUCGAGCAUGACCACCUUUGCAUGUCGUGCAUGGCCACCUUUGCAUGGGAACUAAACUUAACAAAGAGUCUAGAAAAUUUAAUAUUUCUCGACCUUUCAAUUAAUAAAAUAAGUGGUGCAAUACCAAACUGGGUGUGGAAGAAAAGUUUGCGGUCUCUGUAUCUUGCUAAUAACCAUCUCUCAUCUUUGGACCAACUUUUACCCAAUCAGAGUUCAACUUCUUCACAAACCUCCUCGACUAGACCUAUUUGCAAUUUGAGUCAACUUAGAAAUUUCGAUGCAUCUCAUAACAAUUUGAGCGGCACGAUUCCAAAUUGCUUAGGCAAAAUGAAUGAUCUCCUAUUGUUGGAUCUGCAAGGAAAUAACUUCAGUGGAAUGUUACCAAAAUUUUCAAAAGCAACCCACUUAUAUAUUCUCAAAGUUAGUGAGAAUAGAUUGGAAGGGAAGUUGCCCAGAUCAUUAGCUGAAUACACUCAGCUUGAAGUUUUGGACGUGGGAAACAACAAGAUGAAUGAUACAUUCCCUUUUUGGUUGGAGAAAUUGCCUUACUUGACGGUUCUAAUAUUGCGGGAAAACAGAUUUUAUGGUCAAAUUAAACAUUUCAAACAUAAAUCUGUUUUCCCAACUUUGGAUGUAUUGGACAUUGCUUCAAACCAGUUUUCUGGUGAACUAUCCAUUGAUUUCCUUCAACCCACUCGACUAAGGUCACUCAAAAUAGGUGGGAAUAAAUUGGAAGGGAAGCUGUCGAGAUCAUUAGCCAAUUGCACAGCACUUGAGGUUCUGGACCUUGGAAAUAAUAUGGUUCAUGAUACAUUCCCAUUUUGGUUAGAGAAGCUGCCUUCCUUGAAGGUUGUCAUUUUGCGAGCAAACAAAUUCUACGGACCAAUUACAAAAUUCAACACAGAACGUGGGUUUCCAAAGCUACGCAUAUUGGACAUUGCUUCCAACAAUUUUUCAGGCGACUUGUCCAUUGAAUUUUUGCAAAGCUUGAAGGCAAUGAUGUAGUUAACAAAUGAGGACAAAGCUAAGCUGGAUUACAUUGGAGAGAAUUAUUAUCAAGAUUCAGUGACAAUUUUCAACAAAGGGAUUGAGCUGUUUUACGAGAAAAUCUUAAACACUCUUACUUGUUUGACCUUUCCAACAAUAGUUUCCAUGGGAGAAUACCAGAAGAAAUACAAAUGCUGAGGUCACUCAAAGUGCUAAACUUGUCCUAUAAUAGCUUGUCCGGUGAAAUCCCAGUAGCAGUUCAAAACCUAAAAGAUCUGGAGUCUUUGGAUCUCUCACAGAAUGAGCUAUCAGGGAAGAUUCCUCCACAGCUUACAACUCUAACUUUCCUAGAGGCACUGAACUUGUCUUACAACCCACUUGAAGGGAGCAUACCGCAAGGCAACCAAUUCAGUACAUUUUCAAAUGAUUCUUAUCGUGGGAAUCCAAAAUUAUGCGGUCAACCAUUGUCCAAGAAAUGCAAUGAAGACGGUCUUCCAGUGCCACCGCCUCCAGGGGAAGAGGAACAGUCAUGGUUAUAUGCUAUAUCAACUUGGAAAAUUGUUUUGAUAGGUUAUGGUAGUGGUUUGGUCGCUGGGCUAUGUAUCGGAUAUACAGUGUUGAAUGAGUUGGGAAACAAAUGGGUUGACAAGUUCAAAAAACAUGGGAAAAGAAACAGAAGAAGAUCUAGGUGACUGUGUCAGACUUCAUAUAUUAAAGUCAACAGGUAAACAUUUCCUUUUGAAACUAUAGUCUUUAUAUUUUGAAAAGAUUGAUGACGUUUCAAACUAAUUUUGGAUCAUAUAUACAACAUUACAAUUCCUUAAAUUAAGCAGCAGGAGUGGUGACACAGUGAUUUUGUUUUUCCUAUGCAAUAUUCCCAUAUUUGCAUGCUUAUGAGAAGUUAUAUUCUUGGUGGUUUGACUUGUAUUUCUUAUUUUGUCACAGGGAAAUGACCUCUGUCCUUAUAAGCUUCAAGUCAUUGCAUGUCAUUGGUGGCAAUGAAUCAUUUUAAGUAGAAAACCACGCAAAGUAUGAUAAUUUUUGUUUGGGUUUUUGUGCUAUAUAUUUUAUCAAACACAUGUUGGGCUUUAGGCUCGGGUGUAAUGGGUAGAUCUAUUGGUCCGGGUUUUAGUGCAGUCUGACAUUUGUUUUGUACAAAUAAUUUAUUUAUCUUUUAAUAACAGUUUUAUUACUUUAAAAAUAAGUAAAUAAAAUAUAAUGAAAAAUUAGAUAUCUUAAAAAUAUGGUCCGUUUUCCGGAGUUUACAAACAAUGUAAAACACUAUAAAUAUGAUAGCUUUUUCAAAUGAUUCUCCCAUUAUGAAACAUUUAACAGAAUUUGCAUAAAUGAAAUAUUUAUUUACAAGAAAUAAAAAUUAGCCAUGUUAUGCAUAUGAAAAACGUGAUAAUUUGCAAGUGAAAUGAGAAGCUUCAUAUUCUAAUUUUCAGGCCAACAGUCUGAGAAGAAAGCACAGAUUGGCAGAAUAAAGUUGAGAAAAGGAGAAGCAUAUGGCGAAAAGGUUAAUCCCAAAACCGAUAUGCUGCACUCGACGUUCUCUUACAUGUAGUUUGUAUCAUACGCGGAUGGUUGGAUCUUAUUAUUUUAGGAUUUAGUUUACCCAACCGUGAACUUCUGCUUUAAAUACAAUAAUCCUAUUCUAAAUUGGUAUUGGGAUUAGUCAAUUUAUUCUUUCAAUGAUAGUUUUAUUACUUUAAAAAAAUACCCUUCAAUUAAACAUUGUAUGUAAUAAUAUGAUAAUAAUAAUUAAAAUAUAAUGAAAGAAAUUAUGUCUUACAGUCUAGUAAAGGCCAACAAUGUGUCACACUAUCAUUACAAUGUACACAUACUUUGUAGAGAAAUUUAUCCAAUGAAACAGAGGAUGAAACCAGUUUCCCAGAUGCAGGGAAGAAUUGGUAUGCUACAAUAUUACUAAGAAAAAUACUAAUAACAAAAAAAUGGUAAUGGAAUCACCGUUGUUAGUUUUUAGUGUUUUUUUUUGAGGUAUUAUAUAUUUGUAUUUGACCUAUGUUUAUAAUGGUGACCAGACCUGUUAUUUAUAUUUUUGAGAUCCUAGGCGAAACAAUAAAUUAGGGUCUUGUUUAAAAAAUAUUAAAUGUAAUACAAUAAAACAAAAAAAAUAAGCCCUUUUAUUUUAUAUUUUUUUUUGCCUGCAAUAAAUCGAAAGACUUAAAAAGUUAAAAAUUUCAUGUUAAAAACUGGAAAAAGAAACUUUUUGAGCCCUAAACGGUCACACUCCAAAACUACUCUAAAGUCGGGUUGAAAACAACCCAACAAAUUCCAAUCAAAUCCCAAGCUCCAAAAUUGGAAUUAACAAAUGGAAAAACAAAAAGACGUUGGUAAAGCAAAGUAAGUGUGAAAGAUAUGAAGAGUAAGAAGAGAGUAUGAAAAUUUUGAAAAUUGUAAAUUAGGAUGACUUUAAAAUAUGGGGAAGAUUCAUGGGUUUGAAAUCAAUGAUUUUGCAGUUUCUCUUUGUUGAUUUGGUGGAUGUUUCCCACUACUUUUGCUUUUAAUGCUUCCCAUUAUAUACUUGGAAAUUGGGAUUACUUUUGCCACUCAUUUCUCAUGUUUGUUUGGCCAAUAAAGAUUAUUUGCAUAAAGCAACAAUGGGGCAAUAGGCUGCAAUAUUUCCACAUGCCUCUCAAACAUUUUACUCCAAUUUUAUGGAUUUUUUAUAUUUUUUUAAAAAAUUAACAUAUUUUUCUACCUUUCUUCUUUCUCUUCUCAUCCUCUCUUUCUCAAUCUCACCUCCCCGAAAAGAGCAAUGAAAGAAGCGACAAAAGGGUCCUUGGCUGUUUGUGAUGAUGCACUUACAUAUACUCACUUCUAUACGAUUCAUGUAAAUCCUUUCUAUAACUUAUUUCCUUGGAAGCAUUCCUCUGUUAGAGCAACUAAUCCAAAUUCUUAAAUCCAGAUACUGAAUUUUUUUUUUCUUUUCUCUCGAUUUUGUAGCAGGGGCCAAACUCCCCAAUGUCUUGGCUACCAAUCUUCUUUAAUUUAAUCGAACUCAUUUAUGGUAAGGAUGAGUUUUGGAAUGCUCUAUGAAUAUUGUGAGUUGAACAUGAGUAGCAUACUUGACAUGCAAAAUCUAAUAUCAAGAAUCUCCCUUGUGAGAUUCAUUUUUGCUUCAAUUCACAGCCAUUUGGGGUAUGUAAUUUGUCUCUAGCACUGAACUUUCAUGCCAAUAAUGCUAUAUUAUAAACAAGGGUCAUGGCUUUUCCAAGCCUUCUUUAAUAUGAAUUUACUCUUUAGUUCAGAAUUUUAUUUUCAAAUUAUUUUUGUGCAGCUUGGAAGAUAAUAUGAUGAGUUAGUGUUGAUGAAAGCCACAUUUAACAGAGUGAUUCUGCAAAGAGACACCACUGCUAGAUGUGCCUCUUUGAAACGGGACAAGCUCAAGCAAAGAUCGUUAACUUUAUCUUUGAAAACAAUGGUAAAAGUUUCUAACUAAUUAUCUUUUCCUUGACAUCUUCUUUAAUCAUGAUUGAAUUAAGUUUAAGCAUAUGAAAGACAUGACUGUUGGUAGAUAAAUGAGAAGCUUCAUAUUCUAAUUUUCAGGCUAAUGGUCUAAGAAGACAGUAAGGCGUGUUGAUUGCAGUUUGUUAUCUAUUCUAUGGAAAAGAAAACGUGCAUUGCCAACAUAAAGUACAGAAAGGAUAUGCAUAAGGUGCAAAGGCUUAUCACCGAAGCAAGUCUGCAUCUUGUUUAAGGUGGCUCAUGUUCUCUUACAUGUAAUUUGCAUGAAAUCGUAUUAUCUUAGGAUUAUACUGGAGUGCCACCAGCAGUUGACCUCACUGGCAUGUGAGACACUGUUAAGAAUCUUGACAAUGAUCUUAACAAGAUUAAUCCACUAGUUUGUAAUUUUCCCUCUAUAUUUUACCAGGAGUAUAUAACUUAUUUACUUCUAUAUCUUGCAAUUUAUGCAGCCCCUGAGCAUGGUAUAGCUUGGUGUUGGUAGACACAUCGUCCAAGAACUUACAAGAUGUUGAGAAAGCAUAGUGUCGGCAAAAUUUUUGAGUUUUAUGGUUAAGUCUAUGAUCAUAAAUCUUAACAACAGAAUGAUUUUACUAUAAACAAUUUCAGGUUUAUAGGACUUUAUCAUCAAUGUAACUAUUUUUAAUGUGGUUAUAGGAGAGGGUUUGGCUGAAUUAUCAUUAGCUAAUCAUGGUCGAGCCAUUAGGACUAAUAGCUUCAUCAUCAUCCUUUGCUGUGAUAUGACUCUGGCUUGAAUUUAAAGAAAAUAUGAAGUACUUAUAAUGAGAGAGAAAAUUACUUAGCUAAGAGAAGAAAUCAUUUACUUCAACCAAAUUAUCCCCGGUAGAAAUAAAAGCCAAAAGAAUUAAAUUCAUUCAAAACAAAAAUUGUAGGGAUUAGUUUUAUAAUUUUACUUAAAUUUUCAUUUCAACAGGAGGACGCAGGUUCGAGUACAUUGAAGUGCAUUAUCCUCUUAUUUAUGGGUUGGGGAGAGACUAUGGGUAGUUUUAAGGCAUUGUAUCAAAAUAAUAGAUUUAAUCAAAACCUAUAAUGUAAAAAGUUGCUACUAAAAAGUUUAAAAAAUAGAAUUUUUAGUUUCCUUUUGUUUAUUUAUUUAUUUUUUUCAUAAUAUCUUUUAUGUAUAUUUGAAGUGUUUUGGGUUUGAUUUUUAAUCAUUAUAAUCAAAAACCCAAUUUUGUACUAAUAAAUCACACCAUUGUUAGUUUUUAGUGUUAUCUUUUGAGGUAUUAUAUAUUUGUAUUUGACCUAUGUUUAUAAUGGUGAUCAGACCCGUUUUUGAUAUUUUUGAGACCCUAGGCGAAACAAUAAAUCAAGGUUUUGUUUAAAAAAUUAUUAAAUGUAAUACAAAAAUUAAAAAAAUUGAGCCUUUUUUAUUUUAUAUUUUUUCUGCCUGCAAUAAAUCGAAAGACUAAAAAAGUUAAAAAAAUUCACUUUAAAAAUAAAUAAAAAAAAAAACUUUUUGAGUUCUGGACGGCCACACUCUCAAACUACCUUAAAGUCAGGUUGACGGUGACUAGAAAACAACCCAACAAAUUCCAAUCAAAUCCCAAGCUCCAAAAUUGGAAUUAACAAAUAGAAAAACAAAAAGACGUUGGUAAAGCAAAGUAAGUGUGAAAGAUAUGAAGAGUAAGAAGAGAGUAUGAAAAAUUUGAAAAUUGUAAAUUAGGAUGACUUUAAAAUAUGGGGAAGAUUCAUGGGUUUGAAAUCAAUGAUUUUGCAGUUUCUCUUUGUUGAUUUGGUGGAUGUUUCCCACUACUUUUGCUUUUAAUGCUUCCCAUUAUAUACUUGGAAAUUGGGAUUACUUUUCCCACUCAUUUCUCAUGUUUGUUUGGCCAAUAAAAGAUUAAUUGCAUAAAGCAACAAUAGGGCAAUAGGCUGCAAUAUUUCCACAUGCCUCUCAAACAUUUUACUCCAAUUUUAUGUUUUUUUUUAAAUUAACAUAUUUUUAAAUUUUUAAAUUUGAUAUUUGAUCCAUAUACUUUAAAAGUUAAAAUUUCAAUUCUUCUACUUUUUUAAUUUAAAAAUCAUAAUCAAACCAUUAUCGUCGUUGAUAGUUUUUGUCAAAAUUUGUCAAUUUAAUAUGUUUAUUUCUAUCAAUCAUAUGUCACGUCAUAAGAUGACACGUUAAUCAAAAUUUUAAGUUAACAAGUUUUAUAAAAAAUACUUGCGAUUUAAUGAUUGCACUGAGAUUUUUAACUUUCUAACUUUUUAAAUAUAUGAACUAAAUCUUAAAAUAUUUAAUAAUAGAAAAUAUAAAAAAUAUUAAAAUUAAAUAAUAAUAUAGAAAUGAAAUUUUUUCUUCAAAUUUCUCAUCCAAAUACAGUCUAGAAAAGUUUUAAAGAUGAAAUUUAAAUAUAUGUUUGUUUCAAAAGUGGAAAAUUCUAUAUAUUGGAUCAUCAAAAUUUUCACUUAUUGUGUCCAUCAAUCUAGCUAAGACUUAACUUGUACACAAUAGUUCAACGUUGUUUUUGUCCAUUAUUAAUUACUUGGACAUUUGCAUACAAUGCCAAAUACUUAAUACUUAAGGCCUAUAAUAUUUCCACACUAUCAUUUUUGGUCCAAAAUUAAAGAUAUUAAAAUUUUCAAUUUAAACCAUUAUGAUUUAAAACUCGAUGUAUAAUUUUGAGAUAUAAAGUGAUUUAAUUCUUUGAUAAAUUAUAACAUAUUUACAAAUUCGAUACUCAUUAACAAAUUAAUUUUACAUUAUAAGUUAAAUUAUUUUAUAAUUUUUGUUGAGAGAGAUCAAUUUGUUAAUUUUUAAAAUUAACAGGGACUAAAGGAGUAUGUACAUCAAUCUGUUGUUUGAAUUAUUCGAGUUUUUCAUUAUAAAAUUUAACUUGAAACUCGAAUUGUAAACAUUUUUAAUAAAUAUAAAACAUAAAAAAUAUUAAAAUAAAAUAAUAAUUAAAUAAUGAUAUAGAAAUGAAAAUAUUUCUCCAAAUUUCUCACCCAUAUAUGCUCUAAGGAAGUUUCAAAGCUGAAAUUUAAAUAUGUUUCUUUCAAAAGUGAAAAAUUCUACAUAUUUUAUUAUAAAAAAAAUUCACUCAUUGUGUCUAUCAAUCUAUAAUGUGACUUGACUUGUACACAGUGGUUGAACGUUGUUUUUGUGCAAUAAAAACUUAGACAUUUGCAUGCAAUGCCAAAGACGACCUAAGACUUAAAAGUCCUAUAAUAUUUCUAACUAUCAUUUUUUCUGGUCCAAAAUUAACCCUUUGAUAAAUCAUAACAUAUUUACAACUUGGAUACAAAUUAACAAAUUGAAUUUAUAUUAUAAGUUAAAUUUUAUUUUUUUGGUGCUAAAACAAAAUUUACUUAAAAAAAUAAAUGAUGUAGAAAUAAUUAUAUAUAACAUAAAAAAUGAUAAAAUUUACCUGAGUUUGAAAUAAUUUAAAGUUAAAAUAUUUGUAACAUCGAUUUUUGUUCCUAAAAAGUCCAUACCUAAAAUAUAUAAUUUAAACUCAAAAUAUCCGUUGAAUUAUUAUCUUUGCUCAUUCUAUGCGUAAUAAUGGUUCUAAUAGGGUUUAAAGUACAUUUUUAUUGCUAUAAUUUUGUCUUUUUAAUGACUUCGAUUUAGUAAGGCGUGGACAAGAAAACUACAACAUUGGCAUUAAUAAGUUAAUGAGAUUGAUAAAAUAUUAAAAUCUCACUCUUCAAAAUUAAAAUUAGCAAAAAAAGAAAGAGGUAAGGCAAAUUAAGUGUGAAUUUAACAACUUAUUUCUAAUACUAACAAUAAAUAAUUUAUGCAUCAUCACUAACAGCUUUAAAUAAUACAUUAUUAUCCCUUGCUUUUGUAUGUUGGAAAAAAUUGACCAAAAAGACUUAACUGAAGUGGUGGAACAGCAUUUUGAUGGAGUCUUGAUUUGGCAAAAUGACUUAGAAAUUGCAUGCAUUGCCAAUCACUCAUAAAUAAGUUGUAUGCCAAACACAAUCCUCCUUCACACCCACCCAACAUGAACACUCUUCAUUCCCUUAUUUCUUCACUCUCUCUCUUCUCAUGCUUCCUUCCUCUUCUCUUGUCUUUUUCACCUCCUCAAACUCAUCUCCCAAUGCAAUGCCCUGAUGACCAGAGAUCUCCUCUGCUGCAAUUGCAACAUCAUCUUUACUAUGCCCCUCAUUUUACUUUCUCUUCCAAAUUUGAGCUUUGGGAUCCCUACACUCAUUGCUGCUCUUGGAAAGGAGUCUCUUGUGAUGCUCUUGGUUAUGUCGUUGGCGUUGAUCUUAGUAAUAGAAACCUUUCCGGCAGUUUUCACUCCAUUUUCCGUCUCCGUCAUCUUCAACGCUUGAAUCUUUCUGGAAACUACUUUAAUACCACUUUGCUUUCUUAUGGGUUUCACAAACUCCAAAAUCUAACCCAUCUCAAUCUUUCAAGCUCAUGUUUCCAUGGCCAAAUUCCAGUGGAUAUCUCAUACUUAACGAGGUUAGUCUCUCUUGAUCUAUCUAAUCAAGAUUCUUGUUAUUCGCGAUACUACAUCAUUCUUGACCCAUAUAGAGGCGUCCGCAACUACUAUGAUCCAUUGCCUUACGAACUUCAACAGCCUCUUAAAUUAGAGAAACCAAACUUCAAGACAUUAAUCAAGAAUUUGAGGUUUCUCACAGAGCUUUAUUUGGAUGGGGUAAACAUUUCAACUCAAAGUGCUAAAUGGUGUGAAACCACAUCUCUUGUACUUUCCAACCUGCGUGUGUUGAGUCUGUCACACUGUGUUUUGAAAGGUCCAUUAUGUUCUUCACUCUCAAGACUCUCUUUUCUUUCCAACCUUAUCCUUGAUUGGAACCCAAUCUCUUAUUUACCUCCCAAUUUCUUGGAAAUUUCGUCUCAUUUGGUUUCUCUCAGUUUAAUGGGUUGCAAUUUGAGUGGCCAUUUUCCAACUGAAAUUCUCUUAUCGCCAAAAAUUCAAAGCAUUGACAUUUCAGCUAAUUACCAACUUAUGGGUCAGUUGCCAGAAUUUCCAGCAAACAAUGCUUUACAGAUUUUGUCACUUUUUUAUACAAAUUUCAGUGGAAAACUACCUGA
rnacentral:lncRNA from 1 species